rnacentral:lncRNA from 12 species
AUCCUCUCAAACAUCUGUUUGGUGAAUUUCGACCUCGAAAUUCCGUGAAAAGUGUGGUUUGCUUUACGGCAGCCACAAAUUCAUGUUAUCCAACGUAAUUACUACAGUGACAUACGUUUUUUUGUUUUUUACUUGUUAUUAUCAUUAUAGAUGUUGUUGCUGUUGCUGUGUCAAUAAUCAAUAAACUGAAUCAUUGUACGAGUAAAUAUUUUCCUAGCUGUAUUCGUUUGGAUGGAAGUCAUCACAUACUUUUCCUUCAGUGAUUUCUGUAGCUGAACAGAUGGAGGUUGGCUUGGCUGCAGCUGAUGCCAUGCGCGGAACGGAGUAUGAAGCAGGAGCUGAUCCAGAUAUUCUUUUGAUCAACACACAGACAGAUGGAUGGACAGAAGGAUGGAUGAAACCAUGGAUGAAUGGAUACACAGAAGGAUGAAGGGAUAGACUGAUUUUUGCAGAAUGCAGAACGUCACAAUUAAUAAAUUGUAUAAAUCUAUUUAAAAUACGCGAUCGCACUGGCCUGAUAUUUAUGCUAAACAGCUUGGUCUUGUCAUGAGAACACUUUGUUCAUAUAUAUUAACUUGUCUUAAUGUACUUUAUUACAGUGCUUUUUUCUCCUUUUGUUAUUUGUAACAUUUUAGUUUGGUGAAUUAUCUUUACGGAGCAAAAAUACUAAUAUCAGCUAGUUACCAUCAAAGACAACCAAAAGCGUUAUUGGCAACCUAACUGUAAUUAGUAGGCUAUGUGACCAACUGCCAGUAUGGUCACAAUGUUGGCAGGUUUUAAGAUAACCAAGCUUCAGUUGACUGUGUGCAUGUUUACAAGACAACUAUGUGCUUUAUGUGCUGUAUUAUGCAUGUCAGGCCAGUGAUAGUUGAAAACGUGUUGUGUAAUAUAUUUAGCUAUAAGUUAAUAGUUUUAUUACCAUAAAAAUUUAAAUUCACAACAUUCUUUUACAGUUUUUUUUUUCAUUUGCUAACAUCCCAAUGCUAACAACCCAGUCCAAUCAAUAGUCACAUUUUUAAAACUCUAAUUAGCACAACAUCCGUUUGUAGUGACCAUACCAUUAACACAAUUCAUGUUGUUUUCACACAAUAUUCUGUCAAUUAACAUGUUUCUAAAAUGCUUAAAUUUUCAUGCUACACGAGCUUAACCCAUACCAAAAUCAUUUUACAAAUGCUUAAACACAGCAUUACAGAAAUGAAGACCUAAUGUUCCAAACUUUAAAUAUAACAUAAAGCCUCUACUUCUGCAACAACAGCAGAUUAAAAGAGCCGAUAAGAAUUAUUUUAAUUACUAAUAAUUGAGAAAUAGCUGAUUCCAGUCUUAAUGAAUAGUUCCAAGUCUUGCCAUUACAUGGGCAUGCACAAUAUAAAAGGCAUCCUCUGGAUUGGUUUUGUUCAAAACAAUGCAGAACAGCAAAGA